AAGAAGCAGGCUCAUAGCGGAGGAGCCUGAUGUGGGGCUUGAUCCCACAACGCCGGGAUCACGCCCUGAGCCGAAGGCAGAUGCUUAACGACUGAGCCACCCAGGCGCCCCGAGUUUUGUAGGCAUUUUGAACUCUCUUGGUUUCUACUCUCUAGUUAAUGUCAGAAACGUAUUUAUAGUGGAGUACAUGUUUUAUCAUGUCAACGUCCGCUCCUAAUGGAGAAUCCACUGAAUCAGCAGGAGACAGCCCCCCUCCCUCCCGCGGCUUCCGCUGUUUCUAAUGUCUCUGUCUGAACAUUCUUGGCGCUGGUGAGUCUGGCUGUUUCAGUGGUCCCUGGGACCGGCAGGACUCAGACCUGAGGGCCACUGGCCUGUGUCACAGCAGGAGAGCUGUCUGGGGACCUCACCUGCUGUUUCCAGGGUGUCCUUGGCCAAGGCCAUCUCCUGUGGUGUGGGGUGAUAGUCAUGACUUAGCACCAGUAAUUGUCUUUGCGAUGGUAAGGUCACCUCCCAGCUCCUGAGAAGUGCCACUCACUGCUGGGUUUUUGCACCAAAGGAAGAUUAAAGAUUGCAUUUGCAGCUCUUCUGAGGAAGGUCUGUGCAUGCAGUUCUUUAUCUCCGAGUGUCUCGUGCGCCGCUGAUCUUCCUUCUUAGGAUGGACAGUGAGGUCGGGAGUCUCUUGGAGGAGUGGAGAGGUUAGCUGUGACCUGUGGAAGUGGUGGGUUUCCUGAGAUGGAUUGGGUCACAGGUAGAAGAUGUCCCGUCUUCUGCCUCCUCCUGGGAGGGGCUUGCAUGUAGGGCGUUCUUCACAGGGUAGAGUUCAGCUUGUGUUGAUGACGAAGCCUUGCACAGUGCUUCCUCUGUGUCGGACGCUCUGGUGGGGCCUCACGGAGGAGAUGCCGUCCCCCUCACAGUAACCCUGCGAGGGAAGUAGUCUGUCACCCCACUUUACGGAUGGGGAAACUGAGGCGGCAGUGGUCCCGUCGCUGGCCUGGGACUGGAGAGUGGCAUUCCCACGCAGCUCCUGCCCCCUGGCUGCAUGCAGGCUGCCUCUGCGCACAGACUCCCACGGAGCUGGGUUACGGGCGAUGACCCGGUCCUGUUGCCGGCUUGGCCUGCCAGCAGCACGGGACCCUCCUCGACACAUCCUGCGCUCUCGGCUUCUGUGGCAGAGACGGUGCUGCACUUACGAGAGGCUGACACAGUCAGACACCUGCCUCCAGAGUGUGGGCUGCCACCCGAGCGGGGCUCUCCUCGUCUCUGGGGGGCCGGGGGCAGGGUCUCUGAGGGCUUCUGGGAACAUAGGCCUCCUGCCCAAGGCAGUGCCCCAACGGCUGCAGCCCCAGCGCGUGUGGAGCUGGGGGGCUCCCCAGGGACGGUCUGGCCCAGCCACCAGCACUGGGCAGCCUCCACACCAAACCAGGCGCCAGGCACCCCUGAUGGAAGGAAGUGUGUAGUCCCGCCAACACACACACACACCCGGCACUGGUCAGACCCCUGCACCUAACCACCAGCUCACAGGAACCACAGACGAGACCUUCAGAGGCAAAUAGGUAGCGUGGGAGAAUCCUGUUUAGGCUGACUUAAAACAAAAAUGAGGAUCCAGGAAACCGAGCAGUGACUCCCCACUAUGUUACACAGGUAUCAGAGGUUACUUUAAAUUACCAGGAGCUCUUAGCGUGAUACGAGUAUUUUGGUUAGUUGUUUUUAAAGUACCUGUUAGAGAUCUGCUUCAAAACAAUCCACUGGGGAGGGAGGGGCCUAAUGCCAAAAGGGCAGAAACUGGGGGGAAGGUAGGGGGUAAUUACUGCCCCCCGGACUUUCACGCUAACGGCAGUCCCCAGAGUAGAAAAAUAUUUUAAUUAAAUAAAUGGAAUGACCAGGAUGUUGGCGGGUCCCCGUGGUUCACUGACAUGCUGAGAAUGAAGACCACAGUGGUGCUGGACAGUCGCCAGCCAGGGAUGCAGAGUCACCAGCACUGAGGGGAAGGACCCGCCAAGGUGGUCAGGUGGCUGGGGGCUACAGGGACCACCAGCUUCCAGCAGAGCUGGGUGACAGGGAGGUUUCAAAGAUGAGGGGAUACAGAGGCACAAGUAGAAAGACAAGAGACAAAAAGGCAAGGGCAGACCCCUUUCUGCCAUGCGCAGUGCUGCGUGGAGCCUCAGCCAGGUGCUGGCCACCCAGCGUGGGCCACCCGCCUCACGCCCCACCAUCUGGCCCCUCGGUGCCCGGGGCACAGCCCUGCACGCCACGCUGACACCCAGAUCAGAGCCUGCCGCCCUCACGCUCGCCUACACCACCACAUCCCACAGGGUCUCCUGCUGACGCUCAGCUCUCCCCAGCCUCCCUCCUUUCGUCCCCACCCUCCCUCCUUUCGUCCCCACCCCAGUGCCCAAGCUGGGACAUGCCCCUCCCACAGCUCCGGGGUCUCAGCGCCCCACGCCCCGCCCAGCACUGCCCAGUGCCGGCCACCAUGGUGUCGCACCUCCGUGCCUGCCCUGGUCUGUGGGCAGCCCCUACCCCCUACCCACCUGGCCAGCCUCGGCAUCCUUCUGAGCACAAGCCUGGUCACGCCACCCCUGGCUUAAAACCCCUCAUUGGGUCCCACUGCCCCCAAAUAAAGUCCCAGCUCCCAUCACGCCCCACAAACCACACCCGCCCCCUUUCCUACGUCCCUUCUCAUCCGCUCCCACCCUGACCCACACGUUGACCUGAAGGAAGGCUGUGGAGUGCGGUGUGCUGAACUCAGUGCCACUUCCCCAAGGCAGAGACCUACGCACGUGCGUUUCUAAAAAUACCUUAUUUAAAAUAAAUUCUAAAAGCUAAA